AUUUCAUGUUAAAAUAGUGCCCUCAUGUGGUUUGUUUGGGAGCUGCAGACAAAAAUGCGUGGUUUGACGCAAUAUAGCGUAACACACCAGUUGCUACGGGGAAUGCGUGCUGUUGGUACGUAAAUUCAUGCUCUGUCUCAUUUUGGCAAUAUUUGUGUGAUUAUAGCGCAAAAUGACUAGCGAUUUCAAGUAUUUUGUGAUUUGGUUUUGCUAAUGUUUAAACCAUUUAAUCCGAGUAACAUAUAUUUGAUUAGUUAUGGGCUUUUGUGAACUUCCGUCUGAUAGUGCUCUCGUUAGCAAGGCCACGAGGUUGUUAAUUUAAUUUUAUAUUUUAUUUAGAUGUGUAAUGUCUGCAGCGAAACACCACUGAGAGGAUGUUUUAUUUCACUUUUCAGGUAUGUUUUUAUAUAUAUUUUUGUGUUUAUGAUUGCUUUUGCUUUUAUUAUUGCAUCAUGUUUCAUACGAAAUGUGGUCGUGUGUUGCGGUUCUAUUAUUGGUUAUAUACUAUUGUUGUGUAACACACCAGUUGCUACGGGGAAUGCGUGCUGUUGAUGUGUAAUGUCUGCAGCGAAACACCACUGAGAGGAUGUUUUAUUUCACUUUUCAGGUAUGUUUUUAUAUAUAUUUUUGUGUUUAUGAUUGCUUUUGCUUUUAUUAUUGCAUCAUGUUUCAUACGAAAUGUGGUCGUGUGUUGCGGUUCUAUUAUUGGUUAUAUACUAUUGUUGUGUAACACACCAGUUGCUACGGGGAAUGCGUGCUGUUGAUGUGUAAUGUCUGCAGCGAAACACCACUGAGAGGAUGUUUUAUUUCACUUUUCAGAUGUGUAAUGUCUGCAGCGAAACACCACUGAGCGGAUGUUUUAUUUCACUUUUCAGUUGCUACGGGGAAUGCGUGCUGUUGAUGUGUAAUGUCUGCAGCGAAACACCACUGAGCGGAUGUUUUAUUUCACUUUUCAGUAAACACGGAUCAACAAAAAUGAUGUGUCCUUGCAUUUAUUGUGGAAUUGAGCCCACUGACUCCUGUUCAUCUGAGUGCAUGAAGGACGUGUGAACGAAAUGGUUAAAUCACAACGCAGAAUACGAGAGAGAGACCAGAUCCAGUUACAAAAGCAACGAGAACCGUCACAUGUGCAAAUACAUCUAAUGCCACUUCAGAUCUGUGUGUCCUCUGCAGGGCAAAGAUGGAGUUUGUUGAAACUGAUUUCAUUUGAAUGUUAACAACUCUACAGUUUCUUCUUAUUAUUUUUUUGCAUUGAAAAAAGAAUAGAUUUUUGUUUGUAUAUGCUGUUAAUUAUAGUUGUUAGAAAGAAAAUCUGCAAAAAUGGAAUCGGCAAAGAAAAUUACAAUUGGUGCAUCUCUGAUUAAGAGCACUGCUUGAAACAACAGUCACAAAUGUGUGGCUUUUUUCAAGCAUAACAUAUAAACCACAUAAACAUCACUUCACAGUGUUCCAUACUCAGUAAAACUGAAUUGAUACAAUUACAUUUUAAAUUAGUAUUGGACUAUUAUUAAAUUAUACUGAAAGUGGAAUCUUCUAAUACAAAAAAUAACACAUUAUACAUUACAUAGAACAACUGGCAGAUCUAUUAGUUUGCAUUUACACUCCAGAUUUAAAGCACAGAUCUAUUUUGACAUACAGUAUCAGGUUUUUGUCCCGUCUGUUGCUUUGGUUAUCACUGUUAAUCAUCGCAGUUUUGUCAAUGCACCAUUUAAAUAACACUGUCAAUCCAGAAACUUUGCAACGUGCAGUUAGGAGCAUGAUAAAUGUAUAUUACAUACAAAAAGUGAGCUCUAGCAUUUCAGCUCUGUUGAGUGAAUUCAGACCAGUUUGAAAUAUAAUAUAAACUGUAUUUUUCAAGCACUGGUACACUGCGCAACCCUAUGGAGCUUCAUGGGAGGUUGAGAGAAAGAUCAACAAGGAGUGUGUUUUUAUCUAAAUGAAGCUUCUGAGAUGAGAAAGUCCCAAUGAAAGCCUCCCAUCACACUUGUGCAAACACAUCUACUGGUGAGUUUCGCUCAUCUGAACUGACCCGAUCCUAACGUUCUACCAUCACCACAAGCUCUAGCGCCUUCUGUGGGUUACUGCACGUUGGUGAACUCUGAUCUCACACAUCUCAUUGUUUGUGUGCUCUGAAUAUGCCAAAUAAUAAAAAGCUGUCUUAUGAAUUUCUAAUCUUUUCA
ensembl:lncRNA